UUUGCCAUGAUGAGACGCGCAGGGGUACGGACCCCAGCCAGUAAUGGGGGCUGGGUGCUGGCCUGGGUCCUCUGUCGGCGGGCAUGUGGCCUACUGGCAGGGGAUGGGUCAGCACGAUACAGACGCUGGUCUGAGCAAA
ensembl:snoRNA small nucleolar RNA SNORD94